rnacentral:rRNA from 1 species
CUCAGCGACUAUUCCUCAUUGAAAACACAGAUUCUCAUGGAACCACUGACGUUAAGCAACGUUAGGCUUAGUUAGUAUUUGUUAUGAGUGAUCAGGUGGGAGUACUGGGUAUUGCUAAUC